CCUACAGGCGGCAGCAGUGAGGAAUAUUGGUCAAUGGCCGUAAGGCUGAACCAGCCAAGUAGCGUGAGGGAAGACUGCCCUAUGGGUUGUAAACCUCUUUUAUGCGGGGAUAAAGGUGUCCACGUGUGGAUGUUUGCAGGUACCGCAUGAAUAAGGACCGGCUAAUUCCGUGCCAGCAGCCGCGGUAAUACGGAAGGUCCGGGCGUUAUCCGGAUUUAUUGGGUUUAAAGGGAGCGUAGGCCGGUCUUUAAGCGUGCCGUGAAAUUUUGGGGCUCAACCAUGAGAGUGCGGGGCGAACUGGAGACCGUGAGUGGGCGGAAGGCAGGCGGAAUGCGUGGUGUAGCGGUGAAAUGCUUAGAUAUCACGAAGAACCCCGAUUGCGAAGGCAGCCUGCCGCAGCGUUACUGACGCUGAAGCUCGAAAGCGCGGGUAUCGAACAGGAUUAGAUACCCUAGUAGUC
rnacentral:rRNA from 1 species